rfam:Albugo candida, Ac Nc2, WGS project CAIX01000000 data, contig: AcNc2_CONTIG_18_length_159144
UCCUCGAUAGUAUAGUGGCUAGUAUACCUGCCUGUCACGCGGGGGACCCGGGUUCAAUUCCCGGUCGGGGAG